UACGUAGGGGGCAAGCGUUAUCCGGAUUUACUGGGUGUAAAGGGAGCGUAGACGGCCAGACAAGUCUGAAGUGAAAAUCCAGCGCUUAACGUUGGAAGUGCUCUGGAAACUGCCGGGCUAGAGUGCAGGAGGGGCAGGCGGAAUUCCUAGUGUAGCGGUGAAAUGCGUAGAUAUUAGGAGGAACACCAGUGGCGAAGGCGGCCUGCUGGACUGCAACUGACGUUGAGGCUCGAAAGCGUGGGGAGCAAACAGG
rnacentral:rRNA from 1 species